rnacentral:rRNA from 1 species
AUUGAACGCUGGCGGAAUACUUUACACAUGCAAGUCAACGGCAGCACGGACUCCGGUCUGGUGGCGAGUGGCGAACGGGUGAGUAAUGUAUCGGAACGUGCCCAGUCGUGGGGGAUAACGUAGGGAAAAUUACGCUAAUACCGCAUACGAUCUAUGGAUGAAAGCGGGGGAUCGCAAGACCUCGCGCGAUUGGAGCGGCCGAUAUCAGAUUAGGUAGUUGGUGGGGUAAAGGCCCACCAAGCCAACGAUCUGUAGCUGGUCUGAGAGGACGACCAGCCACACUGGAACUGAGACACGGUCCAGACUCCUACGGGAGGCAGCAGUGGGGAAUUUUGGACAAUGGGCGAAAGCCUGAUCCAGCCAUUCCGCGUGCAGGAUGAAGGCCCUCGGGUUGUAAACUGCUUUUGUACAGAACGAAAAGGUUUCUACUAAUACUAGGAGCUCAUGACGGUACUGUAAGAAUAAGCACCGGCUAACUACGUGCCAGCCGCCGCCGUAA